GAUGAACGCUGGCGGCGUGCCUAAUACAUGCAAGUCGAGCGAACAGAUAAGGAGCUUGCUCCUUUGACGUUAGCGGCGGACGGGUGAGUAACACGUGGGUAACCUACCUAUAAGACUGGGAUAACUUCGGGAAACCGGAGCUAAUACCGGAUAACAUUUGGAACCGCAUGGUUCUAAAGUGAAAGAUGGUUUUGCUAUCACUUAUAGAUGGACCCGCGCCGUAUUAGCUAGUUGGUAAGGUAACGGCUUACCAAGGCAACGAUACGUAGCCGACCUGAGAGGGUGAUCGGCCACACUGGAACUGAGACACGGUCCAGACUCCUACGGGAGGCAGCAGUAGGGAAUCUUCCGCAAUGGGCGAAAGCCUGACGGAGCAACGCCGCGUGAGUGAUGAAGGGUUUCGGCUCGUAAAACUCUGUUAUUAGGGAAGAACAAACGCGUAAGUAACUGUGCACGUCUUGACGGUACCUAAUCAGAAAGCCACGGCUAACUACGUG
rnacentral:rRNA from 1 species